rnacentral:rRNA from 1 species
UACGGGGGGAGCAAGCGUUGUUCGGAUUUACUGGGCGUAAAGGGCGCGUAGGCGGCCACUGCAAGUCAGUUGUGAAAUCUCCGGGCUUAACCCGGAAAGGUCAACUGAUACUGCAGGGCUAGAGUGCAGAAGGGGCAACUGGAAUUCUCGGUGUAGCGGUGAAAUGCGUAGAUAUCGAGAGGAACACCUGCGGCGAAGGCGGGUUGCUGGGCUGACACUGACGCUGAUGUGCGAAAGCUGGGGGAGCAAACCGG